UAGGGAAUCUUCCACAAUGGGCGAAAGCCUGAUGGAGCAACGCCGCGUGUGUGAUGAAGGGUCUCGGCUCGUAAAACACUGUUGUAAGAGAAGAAUGACAUUGAGAGUAACUGUUCAAUGUGUGACGGUAUCUUACCAGAAAGGAACGGCUAAAUACGUGUCAG
rnacentral:rRNA from 1 species